CAAGAUAUAAUUUAAGCAGAAUACUAGCUUUGGGGGUUAGUUGCGGGAGUUAAAUUCUCUCUGUCUUGA
rnacentral:tRNA from 1 species